UCCAGACUCCUACGGGAGGCAGCAGUGGGGGAUAUUGCACAAUGGGGGGAACCCUGAUGCAGCGACGCCGCGUGGGUGAAGGAGUGCUUCGGCAUGUAAAGCCCUAUCGGCAGGGAAGAAGCAAGACGGUACCUGACUAAGAAGCCCCGGCUAACUACGUGCCAGCAGCCGCGGUAAUACGUAGGGGGCAAGCGUUAUCCGGAUUUACUGGGUGUAAAGGGAGCGUAGACGGCAGUGCAAGUCCGGAGUGAAAGCCCGGGGCUCAACCCUGGGACUGCUCUGGAAACUGUAAAGCUGGAGUGCGGGAGGGGCAGGCGGAAUUCCUAGUGUAGCGGUGAAAUGCGUAGAUAUUAGGAGGAACACCAGUGGCGAAGGCGGCCUACUGGACGGUGACUGACGCUGAGGCUCGAAAGCGUGGGGAGCAAACAGGAUUAGAUACCCUAGUA
rnacentral:rRNA from 1 species